rnacentral:pre_miRNA from 1 species
GGGGCGAGGCCGGAUCCUGGGCUGUGUCUCGGCGCCCAGUGCUCCCGGGCCUGCGCUGUUGGAUUCGCCCUCCCUGCCCCGCAACCCCCU